UACGUAGGGGGCAAGCGUUGUCCGGAUUCAUUGGGCGUAAAGAGCGUGUAGGCGGCCAGAUAGGUCGGUUGUGAAAACUGGAGGCUCAACCUCCAGACGUCGACCGAAACCAUCUGGCUAGAGUCCGGAAGAGGAGAGUGGAAUUCCCGGUGUAGCGGUGAAAUGCGCAGAUAUCGGGAAGAACACCCGUGGCGAAGGCGGCUCUCUGGGACGGUACUGACGCUGAGACGCGAAAGCGUGGGGAGCGAACAGG
rnacentral:rRNA from 1 species